rnacentral:rRNA from 1 species
AGUGAACGCUGGCGGUAGGCCUAACACAUGCAAGUCGAACGGCAGCACAGUAAGAGCUUGCUCUUACGGGUGGCGAGUGGCGGACGAGUGAGGAAUACAUCGGAAUCUACUUUUUCGUGGGGGAUAACGUAGGGAAACUUACGCUAAUACCGCAUACGACCUACGGGUGAAAGCAGGGGAUCUUCGGAACUUGCGCGAUUGAAUGAGCCGAUGUCGGAUUAGCUGGUUGGCGGGGUAAAGGCCCACCAAGGCGACGAUCCGUAGCUGGUCUGAGAGGAUGAUCAGCCACACUGGAACUGAGACACGGUCCAGACUCCUACGGGAGGCAGCAGUGGGGAAUAUUGGACAAUGGGCGCAAGCCUGAUCCAGCCAUACCGCGUGGGUGAAGAAGGCCUUCGGGUUGUAAAGCCCUUUUGUUGGGAAAGAAAAGCAGCAGGUUAAUACCCCGCUGUUCUGACGGUACCCAAAGAAUAAGCACCGGCUAACUUCGUG